CUUGGUCAUUUAGAGGAAGUAAAAGUCGUAACAAGGUUUCCGUAGGUGAACCUGCGGAAGGAUCAUUACUGAGUUCAUGCCCUAACGGGUAGAUCUCCACCCUUGAAUACAAACUCUUGUUGCUUUGGCGGGCCGCUUCGGCUACUGGCUUCGGCUGGUGAGUGCCCGCCAGAGAACCCUAAACUUUGAAUUACAGUGUCGUCUGAGUACUAUAUAAUAGUUAAAACCUUCAACAACGGAUCUCUUGGUUCUGGCAUCGAUGAAGAACGCAGCGAAAUGCGAUAAGUAAUGUGAAUUGCAGAAUUCAGUGAAUCAUCGAAUCUUUGAACGCACAUUGCGCCCCUUGGUAUUCCGGGGGGCAUGCCUGUUCGAGCGUCAUUAUAACCCUCAAGCCUAGCUUGGUGUUGGAGCAUGCUAUCUAGCAGCUCUUAAAAUCAGUGGCAGUGCCCUUCGGCUCUAAGCGUAGUAAGUUCUCUCGCUAUGGAAACCGGAUGGUACGCGCCAAAACCCCCAACUUUCUAUGGUUGACCUCGGAUCAGGUAGGGAUACCCGCUGAACUUAAGCAUAUCAAUAAGCGGAGGAAAAGAAACCAACAGGGAUUGCCUCAGUAACGGCGAGUGAAGCGGCAAAAGCUCAAAUUUGAAAUCUGGCUCUUUUAGGGUCCGAGUUGUAAUUUGUAGAAGAUGCUUUGGGUGUGGCUCCGGUCUAAGUUCCUUGGAACAGGACGUCAUAGAGGGUGAGAAUCCCGUAUGUGAUCGGUGGCCUUCGCCCGUGUAAAGCUCUUUCGACGAGUCGAGUUGUUUGGGAAU
rnacentral:sRNA from 1 species